UACGUAGGUGGCAAGCGUUGUCCGGAAUUAUUGGGCGUAAAGAGCUCGUAGGCGGUUUGUCGCGUCUGCUGUGAAAACUCGGGGCUCAACUCCGAGCUUGCAGUGGGUACGGGCAGACUAGAGUGCGGUAGGGGAGACUGGAAUUCCUGGUGUAGCGGUGGAAUGCGCAGAGUAUCAGGAGGAACACCGGUGGCGAAGGCGGGUCUCUGGGCCGUAACUGACGCUGAGGUGCGAAAGCGUGGGGAGCAAACAGG
rnacentral:rRNA from 1 species